rnacentral:rRNA from 1 species
GGAUUAGAUACCCUGGUAGUCCACGCCCUAAACGAUGUCAACUGGUUGUUGGGAAUUCACUUUCUCAGUAACGAAGCUAACGCGUGAAGUUGACCGCCUGGGGAGUACGGCCGCAAGGUUAAAACUCAAAGGAAUUGACGGGGACCCGCACAAGCGGUGGAUGAUGUGGUUUAAUUCGAUGCAACGCGAAAAACCUUACCCACCUUUGACAUGUACGGAAUCCUUUAGAGAUAGAGGAGUGCUCGAAAGAGAACCGUAACACAGGUGCUGCAUGGCUGUCGUCAGCUCGUGCCG